rnacentral:tRNA from 2 species
CGGAGCGUAGCGUAGCAGCCUAACGCGCCGCGUUCGGGACGCGGAGAUCGCCGGUGCGAAUCCGGCCGCUCCGA